AGGGUUUGGUGAGGUAGGCAGAUUUACUUUUAACUUAAUAUUGAAUGGACAAGGAUUUUUUUUUCUUAAACUAGUCUUCUAAUGACCUUCUUUUUAAUCCAGAGGGUCCUUUGGAUGGGCCAAUGCCACCAAUUCAGAGAGGAAGAAAGGACAGAUGACAACAAUCUUGUGACACAAGCUGGGCUUAGAGACAGCAACUUGCUCGAAGUCACUGUGGGAUUCCAUGGCUGAGGGACUCCCUCAUGCCAGCCUAACAUUUAAAGUGCUACCACUCAAGCAGCCGAGAUAUAUCGCAUAAAUACCUUCUUCCCCACGGAACUCAAGCCAUGUGAUCCUGUCCACAAUUAAACCAUCUUUCCAAGCAGUC